rnacentral:tRNA from 1 species
AAGGCACUGAAAAUGCCUAGAUGAGUAUUCUUACUCCAUAAACA